rnacentral:rRNA from 1 species
AAUACGGAGGAUGCGAGCGUUAUCCGGAUUUAUUGGGUUUAAAGGGUGCGUAGGCGGUUUAUUAAGUUAGUGGUUAAAUAUUUGAGCUAAACUCAAUUGUGCCAUUAAUACUGGUAAACUGGAGUACAGACGAGGUAGGCGGAAUAAGUUAAGUAGCGGUGAAAUGCAUAGAUAUAACUUAGAACUCCGAUAGCGAAGGCAGCUUACCAGACUGUAACUGACGCUGAUGCACGAGAGCGUGGGUAGCGAACAGGAUUAGAUACCCUGGUAGUCCACGCCGUAAACGAUGCUCACUGGUUCUGUGCGAUAUAUUGUACGGGAUUAAGCGAAAGUAUUAAGUGAGCCACCUGGGGAGUACGUCGGCAACGAUGAAACUCAAAGGAAUUGACGGGGGCCCGCACAAGCGGAGGAACAUGUGGUUUAAUUCGAUGAUACGCGAGGAACCUUACCUGGGUUUAAAUGGGAAAUGUCGUAUUUGGAAACAGAUAUUCUCUUCGGAGCGUUUUUCAAGGUGCUGCAUGGUUGUCGUCAGCUCGUGCCGUGAGGUGUCGGGUUAAGUCCCAUAACGAGCGCAACCCUUACCGUUAGUUGCUAGCAUGUAAUGAUGAGCACUCUAACGGGACUGCCACCGUAAGGUGAGAGGAAGGCGGGGAUGACGUCAAAUCAGCACGGCCCUUACACCCAGGGCUACACACGUGUUACAAUGGCCGGUACAGAGGGCCGCUACCAGGUGACUGGAUGCCAAUCUCAAAAGCCGGUCGUAGUUCGGAUUGGAGUCUGUAACCCGACUCCAUGAAGUUGGAUUCGCUAGUAAUCGCGCAUCAGCCAUGGCGCGGUGAAUACGUUCCCGGGC